rnacentral:misc_RNA from 1 species
GAUGAAGAACGUAGCGAAAUGCGAUAAGUAGUGUGAAUUGCAGAAUUCAGUGAAUCAUCGAAUCUUUGAACGCACCUUGCGCCCCUUGGUAUUCCGAGGGGCAUGCCUGUUUGAGUGUCAUUAAAUUAUCAACCCGAAGAGCUUUCGCGCUCUCCGGUGCUUGGACUUUGGAGUCGUGCGGGUCGUUCAGAUCCGCUCCUCUUGAAAUGCAUUAGCGGUACCAACAGCGGACCUGCCCUGGCGUGAUAAUUAUCUACGUCGCGGUCGCGAAGCUUAACCUUUAUGGGUGUUCUGCUCACAACCGUCGCGCUUGCGACAAUCUCAUUGACAAUUUUGACCUCAGAUCAGGUAGGAUUACCCGCUGAACUUAAGCAUAUCAAUAAGCGGAGGA